rnacentral:rRNA from 1 species
GAUGAACGCUAGCUACAGGCUUAACACAUGCAAGUCGAGGGGAAACGACAUUGAAGCUUGCUUCGAUGGUCGUCGACCGGCGCACGGGUGAGUAACGCGUAUCCAACCUGCCUCUGACCAAGGGAUAACCCGUCGAAAGUCGGCCUAAUACCUUAUGCAGUCGUCGGAAGUCAUCUGAUGACGACGAAAGAUUUCAUCGGUGAGAGAUGGGGAUGCGUCUGAUUAGCUUGUUGGCGGGGUAACGGCCCACCAAGGCAACGAUCAGUAGGGGUUCUGAGAGGAAGGUCCCCCACAUUGGAACUGAGACACGGUCCAAACUCCUACGGGAGGCAGCAGUGAGGAAUAUUGGUCAAUGGGCGAGAGCCUGAACCAGCCAAGUAGCGUGCAGGAUGACGGCCCUAUGGGUUGUAAACUGUUUUUAUGCGGGGAUAAAGUGAGGGACGUGUCCUUCAUUGCAGGUACCGCAUGAAUAAGGACCGGCUAAUUCCGUG